GACGUAGGGCGCGAGCGUUGUCCGGAUUUAUUGGGCGUAAAGAGCUCGUAGGCGGCUUGUCGCGUCGGUCGUGAAAACUUGGGGCUUAACCCUGAGCUUGCGGUCGAUACGGGCAUGACUGGAGUUCGGCAGGGGAGACUGGAAUUCCUGGUGUAGCGGUGAAAUGCGCAGAUAUCAGGAGGAACACCGGUGGCGAAGGCGGGUCUCUGGGCCGAUACUGACGCUGAGGAGCGAAAGCGUGGGGAGCGAACAGG
rnacentral:rRNA from 1 species